AGCAUGACCUCUUAGAGACAUGGUGGUAAUCCCCAACCUCUUGUCUAUCACAGAUCCCAGAUUACAGGAAUGCAGUCAUCGUGGCCAAGUCUCCAGCCUCGGCCAAGAGAGAAGCCAGUCCAUUGGAGAGGGAAGGAACAGAAGCACAGGUAGGAAUAAAGGCUUUUUUCCUUAAAAUAGGUCUUCUAAAAUGAUUUUCCAAUUGAAUACCU
rnacentral:lncRNA from 1 species